rnacentral:rRNA from 1 species
AGUGAACGCUGGCGGUAGGCCUAACACAUGCAAGUCGAACGGCAGCACAGUAAGAGCUUGCUCUUACGGGUGGCGAGUGGCGGACGGGUGAGGAAUACAUCGGAAUCUACUUUUUCGUGGGGGAUAACGUAGGGAAACUUACGCUAAUACCGCAUACGACCUACGGGUGAAAGCAGGGGAUCUUCGGACCUUGCGCGAUUGGAUGAGCCGAUGUCGGAUUAGCUAGUUGGCGGGGUAAAGGCCCACCAAGGCGACGAUCCGCAGCUGGUCUGAGAGGAUGAUCAGCCACACUGGAACUGAGACACGGUCCAGACUCCUACGGGAGGCAGCAGUGGGGAAUAUUGGACAAUGGGCGCAAGCCUGAUCCAGCCAUACCGCGUGGGUGAAGAAGGCCUUCGGGUUGUAAAGCCCUUUUGUUGGGAAAGAAAAGCAGCAGGUUAAUACCCCGCUGUUCUGACGGUACCCAAAGAAUAAGCACCGGCUAACUUCGUG